UGUCCUCGUCUGGUCUUCAUCUCCUCUUCGUCCUCGUCCUUCGCUGGUAUUGCUGCGGACUCUUCCUCCAAAAAAUAAAAGAAGAAGAAGAAGAAGCGCGCGCUCUCUCUCUCUCUCGCUGCAGCAAUCGGGAACACUAUGCCAAGAGGGACACCUCCUGUUAGAGCACGUGGAAGUGGAAGUGGAAGUGCUAGUGCUAGUGCUAGUGCUAGUGCAAGUGUUAAUGCCGGUACUAGCAAUGAUUCCAAUGAAGCGGUUGGUCCUGAAAUUGAGAUGAUAGAUGAUAGAUGAUAGAGCACCAUUGUGGAAAUAUGUUAAGAAGAUUGAAAAGUGUGGGACUGGUGGAGGAAGUUGGAGGUGGCAGUGUAACUUUUGCCAGUUGUAUUAUAAUGGGUCUCACACUAGAGUGCGACAACAUUUAUUGAAGGAAGGAGGAGUGGGGGUUACCGUUUGUAAAAAAGUUAACCCCCAUGCAUUUGCUCAGAUUACUAAAUUGGUGAAGGAUUGCAAAGAGAGAAUAGCAAAUAGAGGAGCAAGACAAGUUCCUUUGCCAUCAUCAACAAGGGGGAGUUCAGCAGCUCAUGGCAGCUCUUCUUUUGUGAGUUAUGGUGACUACACAAGAGCACCAACAGCAGCAGCUGAAGGGAAAA